rnacentral:rRNA from 1 species
GACGUAGGGCGCAAGCGUGUCCGGAUUUAUUGGGCGUAAAGAGCUCGUAGGCGGCUUGUUGCGUCGGCUGUGAAAACCCGUGGCUUAACUGCGGGCUUGCAGCCGAUACGGGCGGGCUGGAGUUCGGUAGGGGAGACUGGAAUUCCUGGUGUAGCGGUGAAAUGCGCAGAUAUCAGGAGGAACACCCGUGGCGAAGGCGGCUCUCUGGGACGGUACUGACGCUGAGACGCGAAAGCGUGGGGAGCGAACAGG